GAACGGUGUCUUCGGACACAGUGGCGGACGGGUGAGUAACGCGUGAGAAUCUGCCAUCAGGUCUGGGACAACCACUGGAAACGGUGGCUAAUACCGGAUGUGCCCUUCGGGGUGAAAGGUUAACUGCCUGUUGAUGAGCUCGCGUCUGAUUAGCUAGUUGGUGUGGUAAGAGCGCACCAAGGCGACGAUCAGUAGCUGGUCUGAGAGGACGAUCAGCCACACUGGGACUGAGACACGGCCCANACUCCUACGGGAGGCAGCAGUGGGGAAUUUUCCGCAAUGGGCGAAAGCCUGACGGAGCAAUACCGCGUGAGGGAGGAAGGCUCUUGGGUCGUAAACCUCUUUUCUCAGGGAAGAACACAAUGACGGUACCUGAGGAAUAAGCAUCGGCUAACUCCGUGCCAGCAGCCGCGGUAAUACGGAGGAUGCAAGCGUUAUCCGGAAUGAUUGGGCGUAAAGCGUCCGCAGGUGGCUAUGUAAGUCUGCUGUUAAAGAGUCUAGCUCAACUAGAUAAGAGCAGUGGAAACUACAAGGCUAGAGUGCGUUCGGGGCAGAGGGAAUUCCUGGUGUAGCGGUGAAAUGCGUAGAGAUCAGGAAGAACACCGGUGGCGAAGGCGCUCUGCUAGGCCGCAACUGACACUGAGGGACGAAAGCUAGGGGAGCGAAUGGGAUUAGAUACCCCAGUAGUCCUAGCCGUAAACGAUGGAUACUAGGCGUGGCUUGUAUCGACCCGAGCCGUGCCGUAGCUAACGCGUUAAGUAUCCCGCCUGGGGAGUACGCCGGCAACGGUGAAACUCAAAGGAAUUGACGGGGGCCC
rnacentral:rRNA from 1 species